CUUAUUUAUCAUCCAGAUUCCCAUGGCAUUCACCAACAUCACUGAUCCAUUCCGGACAACUGGAGGAUGGCUGUGAUGCUGCAGUCAUAAGGAUAAAGGGCAGGCCGUCACGGGGGCUUUUAUAGACGAUGGAUGUCACAAGUGUCAGACUAAAUAAACGGAGGGCAGCACUGCUUAUUUGUAUGGCGUUAACAGGCGCGCAAAACCCCAAAGAGCCACGAAAGAGCCGGGCCGCCACCCAACAAGCAGGUGCAGGUCCAGCUGCGUGUGUUUGUUUGUCUUUGGUCUGUGUGACCCAGGACACUGACAGACGGCUGAGGCUGGUGGACGCCCGUGUGCCACAGUCAUGAGAGAUAUAUGGUUCUGUGAACUGGGUUCACACCGUGGCCCUCUCUGGCAUCUGGGUUCGGACCAGCGCAUGUGUUCGUCAACGCGGUGCCCCUCCAUUACCUAACGUGUCGGGGUUUCCGCCUAAUAUAGCCAAGGUGUGUGUGUGUAUUAUUUUUUCCUUAUUGCUCAUGACAUUUACAGUCUCUG